rnacentral:RNase_P_RNA from 1 species
UAAGUAGGUCGUCUUAUCGCUUCAUAAGAAGAGGAAAGUCCGGACACCACAGAGUAGCAUAACGGAUAACAUCCGUCCGGUGAAAAUCGAGGACAAGUGCAACAGAAAGCAAGUACAGUUCGGCUGUAGUGAAAACAGGUAAACUCUAUGCGGUGCAAUGCCAUGUAUAUUGAAAUUUUAGAGUUACUCGCUCUAUUUCAAGGGGUAGGCAGAUUGAGCUAUAAAGUAAUUUAUAGCCUAGAUAAAUGAUAAGAAUUUACUUCGGUAAAUACAAAAUCCGGCUUACAGACCUGCUUAAUUU